AUACGGGGGGUGCAAGCGUUAAUCGGAAUUACUGGGCGUAAAGCGCGCGUAGGCGGUUUGCUCAGUCGGAUGUGAAAGCCCAGGGCUCUACCUUGGAACUGCAUACGAUACUGGCAAACUAGAGUGUGAGAGAGGAUAGUGGAAUUUCCGGUGUAGCGGUGAAAUGCGUAGAUAUCGGAAGGAACAUCAGUGGCGAAGGCGACUGUCUGGCUCAACACUGACGCUGAGGUGCGAAAGCGUGGGUAGCAAACAGGAUUAGAUACCCUAGUAGUCC
rnacentral:rRNA from 1 species